rnacentral:lncRNA from 1 species
AUUUUCAUUUUGCAUAUCAAAAAACGACAAAAACUGUUCAACAAUGAGCCCCUUAACUACAAUUUUAAUUAAAUCUGCAUGACCCUGGAAAUUUGACUUGACCUUUCCAGUCACAUCUGUUCUCCUCAACAAUGUUUUAAAAUAGGCCAACGUGCCUUGCUCUCUUGAUGACUUUCCGUCAUGUAAUUGCUUGUAUAACUUCU